rnacentral:rRNA from 1 species
UUGGGGUAGCCCCCAUGCAUAUAAAAAAAGACAACUCUGUUCCGCAGAGUAGCUGUUGACAUUAUAGUUGCGCAGGAACUUUGUUGACUCUAGAGAACCUCGGACAAAUCGCACAUCCCCGUGGCGGUGACUUUGCAUGCGGAUGUCAUCCAUUUCAACUUUCAAUGCCAGUUUGUGCGCCUACCAUGGUGACCACGGGUAACGGGGAAUCAGGGUUCCAUUCCAUACAGGGACCCUGGGAAACUGCUACCACAUGCAAGGAAGGCAGCAGGCAUGCAAAUGACCCACUCCCGCGCGGGAAGGUAGCGACGA